rnacentral:rRNA from 1 species
AUUGAACGCUGGCGGCAGGCCUAACACAUGCAAGUCGAGCGAGCGGCGGACGGGUGAGUAAUGUCUGGGAAAAUGCCUGAUGGAGGGGGAUAACUACUGGAAACGGUAGCUAAUACCGCAUACCAUGAGAUGUGCCCAGAUGGGAUUAGCUAGUAGGUGGGGUAACGGCUCACCUAGGCGAAGAUCCCUCCCUGGUCUGAGAGGAUGACCCGCCACACUGGAACUGAGACACGGUCCAGACUCCUACGGUAGGCAGCAGUGGGGAAUAUUGCACAAUGGGAGCAAGCCUGAUGCAGCCAUGCCGGGUGGGUGAAGAAGGCCUUCGGGUUGGAAAGCACUUUCAGCGGGGAGGCGUUACCCGCAGAGGAAGCACCGGCGAACUCCGUGCCAGCAGCCGCGGUAAUUC